ACUAAACUAAUCAAAAUUAAAUUGGCUGAGUUUAUAUAUAAUCACAAUUUCGAAGUAGAACGAGUGAUGAGAGUGAAUUUUGUUGAGUGGCUCCUUUUGGCAUGCGUGAGUGAACCGGUGAGGGUGGCGUGCUUUUGAGCGGCGGCAAAGGGCGUGAUUCUAGUGUCUUGUGCAGCACCUAAGGUAAGGUUACAGUGUUGCCUCCAUAGUCGUGGGUUUUUGUUCUGUUAUCAUCAUUCACAAACACGUACAAAUUGGAAAGGAUUACAAAAGAUAAAGAUGGGUAGUUUUUUAAUACAAAAUCAAUUAAAGUGAAUUGGCUAGGGAGAGAGUGGGAGGGAAUUAAAUUGUUUUGUUUGGAUAACAACAAAAUUGGCCAAGGAGUGAGUGGGAGAUGAUUAAUUUGUAUUUCACGAUUUCAUUAGAGAAAUUUAUGUUCUAUUUAAGUUUAGUUAUUC
rnacentral:lncRNA from 1 species